rnacentral:rRNA from 1 species
AAUGAACGCUGGCGGCAGGCCUAACACAUGCAAGUCGAACGAAGCCUUCGGGCUUAGUGGCGGACGGGUGCGUAACACGUGGGAAUCUGCCCUUGGGUGCGGAACAACAGUUGGAAACGGCUGCUAAUACCGCAUAAUAUCUCCGGAUCAAAGAUUUAUCGCCCAAGGAUGAGCCCGCGGUUGAUUAGCUUGUUGGUGAGGUAAUGGCUCACCAAGGCAACGAUCAAUAGCUGGUCUGAGAGGAUGAUCAGCCACACUGGGACUGAGACACGGCCCAGACUCCUACGGGAGGCAGCAGUGAGGAAUAUUGGACAAUGGGGGCAACCCUGAUCCAGCCAUGCCGCGUGAGUGAAGAAGGCCUUAGGGUUGUAAAACUCUUUCAAUCGUGAAGAUAAUGACGGUAGCGAUACAAGAAGCUCCGGCUAACUCCG